AAAUUGACGGGGGCCCGCACAAGCGGUGGAGCAUGUGGUUUAAUUCGAUGCAACGCGAAGAACCUUACCUGGGCUUGACAUCCCGGGAAUCCCUUGGAAACAAGGGAGUGCCCUUCGGGGAACCUGGAGACAGGUGCUGCAUGGCUGUCGUCAGCUCGUGUCGUGAGAUGUAGGGUUAAGUCCCGCAACGAGCGCAACCCUUGUCUUUAAUUGCCAUCAUUGAGUUGGGCACUUUAAAGAGACUGCCGGUGUUAAACCGGAGGAAGGUGGGGAUGACGUCAAGUCAUCAUGGCCCCUAUGUCCAGGGCUACACACGUGCUACAAUGGGCGAUACAGAGUGACGCGAAGCCGCGAGGUGGAGCAAAUCGCAGAAAAUCGCUCUCAGUUCGGAUUGGAGUCUGAAACCCGACUCCAUGAAGGUGGAAUCGCUAGUAAUCGCGCAUCAGCAUGGCGCGGUCGAAUACGUUCCCGGGCCUU
rnacentral:rRNA from 1 species